GUCAGAUUCAGAUGACGAGGUCUUGAUGGUUUUAUAGUCUGUUAAUUGUACGUUGAAAGUAAUCUGGUGCUUAGUAAAUAAUUGUACACUUUUUCAAUGUGCGCUUAAUAAGGAUUUUGGUAAUUUUUUAUAUUUACAGUCAAAACCUAGUUUUAACCAAUUAGUCUAAUAUUCCACAUCUUCUUUCUCCUCUUAUGUGGUCUUUUUACCUAGUGGGCUGUGAACUAGUUCCCAGUCAAGUAUGUAUAUAUUUCCUUUGUCCUCUCUCUGAAAAUGACCAAGAAUGAGUUGGAUUACUGUGGAACCUUGUUGAAAGACAGCCCAUCUGUUCAUAUUUGGGUUCCACUGAACACGUUGAUCUACAUCUUCUGUUUUUACUGGACUUUGUGGGCUUAUAAGUAAUUUCUACUUCUCCCUAUUCCCUUUUUUGAGUUUCCUCAGAUCUGAAUCAAAGCUCUGUCCUCUCCACAGAGCGACCCAUAGGAAAACAAGAGGAUACAGUACCCAGAGUCCAGCCGUCACCUCCCCAGAUAUUUAAACAACUCUCCAGUUCCUCAGACUCUUCCACUCACCCAAGACGGCAAAAGAUUGAAUUUCUUCAUCACAGUACAUGCAUAUAACAGGCAGAGAGCAAAGCUUGGUAAUCACCUUGGCAUUGCCUGUCUCUGUGAUGCUGAAGACAUUCUCCUUUCUGUGCACUUCAGAAGAGGUUCUGAUUUCCAGAGUCUGUAAGCUUUGGAAGAUGCUAGUUGAGCGUUCUGUGCUAUGGAGACAAGUACCUGACACCGUACUGGAAGAUCCGUCUAUCCAGAAGACCAGGAAAGACAGAAUUAUACACAUGGAAGACACCAAAUGUAAAAAUGCGGGCUCCGGAAGCUGUGGAGAGUGGUUUGCAGAUGAGUAA
ensembl:lncRNA